CAGCCGCCGCGGUAAUACGGAGGGGGCUAGCGUUGUUCGGAAUUACUGGGCGUAAAGCGCACGUAGGCGGCUUGGUAAGUUAGAGGUGGAAGCCCAGGGCUCAACCCUGGAAUUGCCUUUAAGACUGCCGAGCUAGUAGGUGAGAGAGGUAAGUGGAAUUCCGAGUGUAGAGGUGAAAUUCGUAGAGAUCGGGAGGAACAUCAGUGGCGAAGGCGACUGACUGGACAAGUAUUGACGCUGAGGUGCGAAAGCGUGGGGAGCAAACAGGAUUAGAUACCCCGGUAGUCCCUGUCUCUUAUAC
rnacentral:rRNA from 1 species